GAUGAAUAAACCUUAAGAAAGAACACCCUGCUUUUGUAACAGAUGAAGAAAGGCUAUGGAAGAGACAGAUUCUGGAGGAUGCAGCAUUCAAGGUUCUAUCUUGGAAGCAGAGACUGUGCCCUCACCAGAUGCUGAACCUGCUGAGCACCCUGAUCUUCCACUUCACCUUCAUCAGAACUACUGCUGUGAUUGCACCUGCCAUCUUAUGCAGAAAUGACCUGAAGACAGACUGAAACAACGUGUUCUACAGCCUGAAAAUAUCUACCUUGACUUACAGUUUUAUUAAUGCUGGUGUGAUCAGACUGGACAAAAAUUAGCAUAUGUUAUUAACUGAUCUAAUUCAAGUGCCAAUUCUUAAUAGAAACACAAAACAAUAAAAGCAAUUCAGAAAAUA
rnacentral:lncRNA from 1 species